ACCUCUAUCAGUGACUUUUGAACUAAAACAUUACUAAUUCACCUCCUUUAUUCUCUACUUCAAGAGUAACAUCCUUCCCCUAGAAGCACUGGAUGACUCAUAUCUAGUUUUCUGGGCUGGGAGGAGGAUCUUCAGGGUGCAAGUGAAGAAAACCAGAGAGUGCAGAGCUGGAAAGCUUGGCUACAGGACAGACAAGUGGACCCUACCCAGAGGAGAAAGCAGGAAAAGCGGCUGGAGUGGACUUGGGGUGGCACGGCGCGGACUGAACCGUGGAUGUCCUGCUGCGGAGUUGACUAAGGGGUCAGAUCUCGAGAAAUGUACCGCUAUUAGGCUUUACUUCCUUUGGUUGUUUUGAAGACCAUAAUGCCAGACCUCCCUUCCAGCGAUGAAGCCUGACCAUGUGGUUGAGUAGAGAAGUGGAAAUGUGUCUGCUCAUGAAGUAUGGUGCACCAGAAAAAAAGUGGGCCUGGAUGCUGCAAGACCUGCCCUGAACCAGCUCCGUGAUGAGGCACAUGACAUUCCGAUGUGGCUGCUUUGACACAGACUGUCCACUUGGGAACGUGGAGACAUGGCGUCAAAAACAAAAAGGUUAACCUCUUGGCUUUGAAAAAUCCCUAAGCUCCUCACUCAGUCCCUCUCAACCCCUGAUCCUCUCUCUGAACCCCCACAUAGCAGACACUUUACCUUUUAGCUGAGUAAAUGAAUAAAGAACUGCACACUGAGCACAGAAUGAGGUUGGAAGUGUCAGAAAUGAAACAAUGGUCAACAAUGAGGAAAAAGUCAGAUGUAUGGCAAGAGUCAUGAAAGAAGUCUCAAGAAUAAGAGGUGUCUGACACUAACAUUUGGUGAUCAAUAGUCGUAACAGAAGGCAAUGUGGCAAAGUAUCAACAUUCGCCAAACAUUGGCAGUGAAUAUAGAUGUUUGUAAUAUUUUUCUCCACAGUGUGGUGUGUUUUAAAUGUUUUGUUUAAAAAAAGAACAAUCUGGGUGGCUCAGUUGGUUGAGUGUCUGGCUCUUGAUUUCUG